rfam:Candidatus Atribacteria bacterium RBG_19FT_COMBO_35_14 rbg_19ft_combo_scaffold_3444, whole genome shotgun sequence.
GCGCCUGUGGCUCAAUAGGAUAGAGCAACGGACUUCUAAUCCGUAGGUUGGGGGUUCGAUUCCCUCCAGGCGCG